rnacentral:rRNA from 1 species
UACGUAGGGUGCAAGCGUUGUCCGGAAUUAUUGGGCGUAAAGAGCUCGUAGGCGGUUUGUCGCGUCUGCUGUGAAAACCCGAGGCUCAACCUCGGGCCUGCAGUCGAUACGGGCAGACUAGAGUGCGGUAGGGGAGACUGGAAUUCCUGGUGUAGCGGUGAAAUGCGCAGAUAUCAGGAGGAACACCGGUGGCGAAGGCGGGUCUCUGGGCCGUAACUGACGACUGGAGGAGCGAAAGCGUGGGGAGCGAACAGG